rnacentral:tRNA from 1 species
CGGGGCAUAGCGCAGUUUGGCUAGCGCGUCUGCCUUGGGAGCAGAAGGUCGAGAGUUCAAAUCUCUCUGCCCCGACCA